UGGCAGCCUCCAGCCGCCCGUCUUUGUAAGGAGACCACUGAGAGGAGCAGGAACGUGGAGCAGCAGCUUCCUUGCUGCCCUGACUUUUUAAGAAAUCUCAAUGAACUAUUUGUAGACAAUCACUGAUCCUGCCUGCAAGAUUUUUUUUUUUUUUUUUGCACGGCAAAGACACUGAUCAGUGUUAAGUGAAGAUCACAUCUUAUAUGCGAUCUUGACUUUUUUUUUUUGGUUUUACAUUAUAUUUUUAUAGAUUUUUGUUAUAAUCAUGGUGCUGGGAAAGGUGAAGAGUUUGACAAUAAGCUUUGACUGUCUUAAUGACAGCAAUGUCCCCGUGUAUUCUAGCGGGGACACUGUCUCAGGAAGGGUGAAUUUAGAAGUUACAGGGGAAAUCAGAGUAAAAUCUCUUAAAAUUCAUGCAAGAGGACAUGCGAAAGUCCGCUGGACUGAAUCUAGAAACGCCGGCUCCAAUACUGCCUAUACCCAGAAUUACACUGAUGAAGUAGAAUAUUUCAGCCAGAAAGACAUCCUAAUUGGGCACGAAAGAGAUGAUGAUAAUUCUGAAGAAGGGUUCAACACUAUCCAUUCAGGAAGGCAUGAAUAUGCAUUUAGCUUCGAGCUUCCACAGACACCACUUGCUACCUCAUUCGAAGGCCGACAUGGUAGUGUGCGCUAUUGGGUGAAAGCUGAAUUGCAUAGGCCUUGGCUUCUACCAGUAAAGUUAAAGAAGGAAUUCACAGUCUUUGAGCACAUAGAUAUCAACACUCCUUCAUUACUGUCACCCCAAGCAGGCACAAAAGACAAGACACUCUGUUGCUGGUUCUGCGCCUCAGGCCCAAUAUCCUUAAGUGCCAAAAUCGAGAGGAAGGGCUAUACCCCAGGUGAAUCAAUACAGAUAUUUGCUGAGAUUGAGAACUGCUCUUCCCGAAUGGUAGUGCCAAAGGCAGCCAUUUACCAAACACAGGCCUUCUAUGCCAAAGGGAAAAUGAAGGAAGUAAAACAGCUUGUGGCAAACUUACGUGGCGAGUCCCUGUCAUCUGGGAAAACAGAAACAUGGAAUGGCAAGCUCCUAAAAAUUCCACCAGUUUCCCCCUCCAUCCUUGAUUGUAGUAUAAUCCGUGUGGAGUAUUCACUAAUGGUAUAUGUGGAUAUUCCUGGAGCUAUGGAUUUGUUUCUUAAUUUGCCACUUGUCAUCGGUACCAUUCCUCUUCAUCCAUUUGGUAGCAGAACCUCAAGUGUAAGCAGUCAGUGUAGCAUGAACAUGAACUGGCUUGGUCUAUCCCUUCCUGAAAGACCUGAAGAACAUGUUGUUCGAAUUGCGUGUAUCUUUUUCCUUCAGCACCACCCAGCUAUGCAGAAGUAGUGACUGAGGAAGAAAGACGAAAUAAUCUUGCUCCAGGGAAUGCUUGUGAUGGUUUUGAGAGAGCUCUUCAGGGACCACUGUUUGCAUAUAUCCAGGAGUUUCGGUUCUUGCCUCCACCUCUUUAUUCAGAGAUUGAUCCAAACCCUGAUCAGUCAUCUGAGGAUAGACCAUCCUGCCCCUCUCGUUGAAGGAACACUUGAUUGAAUCGAGUUGAUAUGGGUUCUGAACUGUUUCUCUUCCGGCUGAGGACAGAGAAGUAUCAUGGAGACACGUUUUUCAGAGGAAGUGGAAUUGCUUUUGCCCAGAAAAUGGCAAAUACAUGAAACAACCAGUGAUCAUGCUUUAGAAUCUUACAGCAGCAUUCUGGGGCUGCUCCAACAUGCUUGAAGAUCUAAGCUUUCUCCUUUAACACUGCACAUGCUAAGAGCAGUCAGUCGUCUUAGCCUGUGUCAUACGUGUCAAGACACCAUUGCAGUGGAGGACAUGGUCCUCCGAUUUGAAAAUUUGCACAUGCUCAAUGCUUACAUUGUGCAGCUCUGUGUCACUACAGCUUUUUUCCAUUUAUGCCAGACUCUUGAUACUCUCAAAACUUGUUUGUGGUCAGCGCAACAAGGAACAAAAGGAAAGCUUUGAAAAACUUCUACGUGAAAAAGAAAAAAAAAGAAAAAAAAACAAUGCACUGACAGUUUGUGGUGUUUUUUGUUUUUUGUUUAAGUUAACGUAGCCUGGACUCCACCUGCAUAUGCUCGUGCUCAGAGUUGUCCUACUAGGCUGACCAUUUAUCACCUCUUCAGCUUGGAUCCUAUUGUGGAUUUAUUUACAAACAUCAAAUGCCUUCAAGCCAAUCGUUUUGCUGUACGUUUUGCAGCCUACUGUAGUAGAUGCGCAACACGUCUGUGGGGAAGAGACAGGAGGAAGCUAAUGAGAGACUCUAGGAUUGGGGACCCUGGUUUCUUUGAGACUGUGUUGCCUUUCUACUAUUGACAGCAAAGCAGCAUUUUGUUACUGACUGCCUAAAAUCACUUAAUCUCAGGUGAAUGCAUCACUUGCCAAACUGUCGGAAUGCUAUUUGUGUUUUGUUGCACUGUUAUUUUGUUGUUGUUGUUGAUGAUGAUGAUGAUGAUGUUUGGCUUUUUGGAGAGGGAGAUUCAGAAACGGGACAUACACAAAAUUGAUAACCCACCCACAUCCCUUUUUAUCAUUACAUGUAAGAGGAAACCAGAGCUAAGAGUGCACUGAAGAAAGACAGUAGGCCAGGCACCAGCAAAGAGUUAAGGGCUGUUGCUCAUGAAAAUUAUUUUUAUGAUUUUAAAAAUAAAUGGAAGUUGUCCAGUCACUAGGGAAGAGGGGGGGAAAGUGCAUUUAUUUUUAUACAGUUACUUAAUUACCUCCAAAACACAUAUGCUUGGAAAUCACUGUUGCUGAUGUGAAGUACUUUAAUAAGCCAGAGUGUGUCAGGGCUGGAGAAGCUUGAUUUAUACAUUUGCUCAAGCUUAAGAGAAUAAAGUCCCAAAUUUGUUCUCAUAACUUCGUAAUUAUAAAUACUGAACUGUGUGCUGGGAUCAAUAGCUUUAAUUUAUCUAUAUAUGUGUUAUUAUUUUCUAUCUGAAGAGGUCUCUCUCUUUGAGUAUGUAUAGAAUGAACACAUCAAUAAUUAUUUUUGAAGGUAAUCUGUGGUUGGAUUAUAACAAAAAUACCAGCAUUCAUGGAAAAGUAAAACCCCACCUUCCCAAAUACACAGUGAUUUUUCUUUUUAGAAGUUUACUUCUAUUUUUAGUGACACCAGCAUCUCUGAUAUUGCAACGUAUGUGUGAAAUGGGUAUUAAAUCUGUCUACCUUGCCAUCUUAACCCACAGUUAAUAAAGUGACUGAAAAUAGUGGUAACUCUGGCUUGGUGCUUGACCUGGUUAAAUGCUGUCUUAAAGCUUCACACAAAAUAGGCUUUUCCAUAAGUGGCCUUUAAGAAAACAUGGAGGACAAUUCAUGUUUGGAAUAAUGCUAACAGGGUGAAGAAAGCCCAUCGGAGAAAUGAAUCGCGUUCUAAGUGAUUCGGGUAAAGGGUUUGUGCUCCCAUAGCAAACUGAUACUAGAUAAUAAGGAAAGGGGGGUGAAUUAUUUUUUUAUUGUUAAAUCAUUUUGUGAAUGUCCCCCUCAGAAGAAGCUGAUGGAGUAUUUGGCAUAAUGGGCAUUUGGUGGUUUUGUUUUCGUUUGGGAGGAAUCGUCUGCAAACACCUCUUACUCUUCCUGUUACGUCUAACUAGGGAACAAUUGUUGAUGUGCAUGGCAUCGGGACACUCACUACCGUAUUCUUUUACAAAAUACUACAUAAGCAAGAAUGACCAAUAUUAAAAUUGGCACUGGGUGACAAAAUUCUUGUAAGACUUGGUGAAAUAAAGUUUAUUUUUAUCAUUAAAUAUUUCUUUACUAAUUUAGAGGCAUUACAUUUUUCUAAAUAUUGGUCAAUUCCUGAUAUAACGUGAGGGUCACAAUUGUGCUCUAGUAUUCAAGACAGCUUCCUAAUUUUUCAUUUAGGAAAAGUAAAAUCCAAAAUGUUCGAGAAACAAAGUGCAAUAUUAAAUGUUUGCUUUAUAGAUUAUACUCUAUGGCUGUUCGUAAUCUCUUUUUUUUAUUUGGUGCUGAAUAUGUCCUUGUAGGCUCUGUUUUAAGAAAACUAUGUGGAAAAUGAUUUAAUUUUUCCUAUUGCUCUUCCUUGUGGAAAAUAAAAGUGUUUUUUUUUUUUUCCUUUUUUU